UACAGAGGAUGCAAGCAUUAUCCGAAAUGAUUGGGCGUAAAGCGUCUGUAGGUGGCUUUUUAAGUCCGCCGUCAAAUCCCAGGGCUCAACUCUGGACAGGCGGUGGAAACUACCAAGCUGGAGUACGGUAGGGGCAGAGGGAAUUUCCGGUGGAGCGGUGAAAUGUGUAGAGAUCGGAAAAAACACCAACGGUGAAAGCACUCUGCUGGGCCGACACUGACACUGAGAGACGAAAGCUAGGGGAGCGAAUGGG
rnacentral:rRNA from 1 species